rnacentral:rRNA from 1 species
CGACUCAAGCCUUGUGUCAGCCGCAGCGGUAACACCGGCGGCCCGAGUGGUAGCCGCUAUUAAUUGGGCCUAAAAGCGUCCGUAGACCGACUAAGUUAAAUCUUCUAGUGAAAUUGUUGUGCUCAACAUAACAACGCGCAGAAGACACUGCUUAGAUUGGAACUGGGAGGAGUUAGGAGUAUGUCUGGGGGAGCGGUAAAAUGUUAUAAUCCCAGAUAGACUACCUGUGGCAAAAGCGCCUAACUAGAACAGAUUCGACGGUGAGGGACGAAAGCCAGGGGAGCAAUCCGGAUUAGAUACCCGAGUAGUCCUGGCCAUAAACGCUGCGAGCUAGGUGUCACACCUUCUCCGUGAAUGUGUGGUGUCGUAGAGAAGUCGUUAAGCUCGCCGCCUGGGAAGUAUAGUCGCAAGACCGAAACUUAAAGGAAUUGGCGGGGGAGCACUACAAGGGGUGCGGCGUGCGGUUUAAUCUAAUUCAACGCAGAGAACCUCACCAGCAGCGACGGCAGAAUGAAAGUCAGUCUAAAGGGCUUACUUGACGAGCCGAGAGGUAGCGCAUGGCCGCCGUCAGCUCAUGCCGUAAGGUGUCCUGUUAAGUCAGGCAACGAGCGAGACCUGUACCUACAAUUGCUAGCAACUAGUAAUAGGAUUGAGCACAUUGUGGGAACUGCCUUCGAAAGGAGGAGGAAGGUGCAGGCUACGGUAGGUCUGUAUGCUCCGAAUCUGCUGGGCUACACGCGCGCAACAAUGGUAAGGACAAUGGGAUGCGACUCCGAAAGGAGGAGCUAAUCCUCGAAACCUUAUCUUAGUUCAGAUUGAGGCUUGCAACUCAGCCUCAUGACGCUGGAAUCCCUAGUAAUCAGACGUCAUCAUCGUCCGGUGAAUAUGUCCCUGCUCC